AGAUGAAAAUGGAGUAGAAAGUCGAGUCUGCAAAAGCGAAACUUAUGUUGGGUUUGAAGGACAGGGAGGCUUUCACUUACAAGCAUAGAUCUGGAAAGGCAAGAAUACUGUCACACGUGGAAGGGGUGAAACAU